rnacentral:ncRNA from 2 species
AAUGUCCACUAGGGGUGCCGUUUACGGCUGAGAUAAGGUUUUCCUUGAUCCCUUUGAACCUGAUCUGGAUAAUACCAGCGUAGGGAAGUGGCAGCGACGAAUC